UGGCUAAUGAUCAGAUGGUGAUAACUGGGAAUAAAGACAAUAAAAUGAGAAAAGCAAAAAGGCUGUUAGCUUGCUAUAACAAGGGAGUCAGCCACCAUCAUUUGUAUUUGGAUGAGACUCAAUGUCAGGCAGAGGAGUGGGUCACACCUUGGCUGUAAAGUGUCCUAACAGCCACCUACUUAUGAUUACUGCUUUCUUACCAAUAACCUCCCCAGCCUGUUGUGUGGCUCCUACAUCUUGAACAAAAGCGACCAAGGCAUACAUCUGUAGGAGACCAGAAUAUGCCACCCCAAAAUAUGCCUCCUUGGCCUAAGGAUUAUUCUGAGCUAGUAAUUUUGAGAAACAGAAGCUAUGAAAACAGCAUAAGCUACCCCUUUGAAAGAGAAAUUCACCCCGGCCACCACCCCGUCUGGGAAGUGAGGAGCGUCUCUGCCCAGCCGCCCCGUCUGAGAAGUGAGGAGCCCCUCCGCCCGGCAGCCGCCCCGUCUGGGAAGUGAGGAGCCCCUCUGCCCGGCCGCCAGGCCGUCUGGGAGGUGUGCCCAACAGCUCAUUGAGAACGGGCCAUGAUGACGAUGGCGGUUUUGUCGAGUAGAAAGUGGGGAAAUGUGGGGAAAGGAAGGAGAGAUCAGAUUGUUGCUGUGUCUGUGUGGAGAGAAGUAGACACAGGAGACUCCAUUUUGUUAUGUACUAAGAAAAAUUCUUCUGCCUUGGGAUGCUGUUAAUCUAUAACCUUACCCUCAGCCCCAUGCUCUCUGAAACAUGUGCUGUGUCCACUCAGGGUUAAAUGGAUUAAGGGCGGUGCAAGAUGUGC
rnacentral:lncRNA from 10 species